UACGUAGGGUGCGAGCGUUGUCCGGAAUUAUUGGGCGUAAAGGGCUCGUAGGCGGUUUGUCGCGUCGGGAGUGAAAUCCACUGGCUUAACUGGUGGCUUGCUUUCGAUACGGGCAGACUGGAGGUAUGCAGGGGAGAACGGAAUUCCUGGUGUAGCGGUGAAAUGCGCAGAUAUCAGGAGGAACACCGGUGGCGAAGGCGGCAUCCUGGACCGGCAUUGACGCUGAGGCGCGAAAGCCAGGGGAGCAAAAGGG
rnacentral:rRNA from 1 species